UGUAACUUGAGCAUUUAUGAAUUAUAUAUUUGGCUAAAAUACAGAGAAGGUUAGCAUGGCCCCUGCGCAAGGAUGACGCGCAUAUUCGUGAAGCGCUCCACAUUUUU